CACGCCGUAAACGAUGAGUACUAGGUGUAGGGGGUAUCGACCCCCCCUGUGCCGCAGUAAACACAAUAAGUACUCCGCCUGGGAAGUACGAUCGCAAGAUUAAAACUCAAAGGAAUUGACGGGGACCCGCACAAGCAGCGGAGCAUGUGGUUUAAUUCGAAGCAACGCGAAGAACCUUACCUGGACUUGACAUACCCUGAAUAUCUUAGAGAUAAGAGAAGCCCUUCGGGGCAGGGAUACAGGUGG
rnacentral:rRNA from 1 species